GAUGUUUGGUUAAAAAUACUUAAACGUUAUAUUUAUAUAAGCAAAUUGUUUUGUGUUAAUAAAGGGUGAAAUCAAUUUUUUACUAAAUAAAUGAUUUUGUUUGAUAUAAUUGAGUUGAGGUUGUUAAGAUUAGGAUAUGAACCAGGAUUAGAGACCCUGUUACACUUAAUUUUAAAUUAAAAUACCUGGGUAGUAAACAGUUAUAGUCUUGAAACUUAAAGGAUUUGGCGGUAAUUUAGUAUAGUUAGAGGAACCUGUCCUGUAAUCGAUAAACCACGAAAAAUCUUACUUUACUUUGAAUAUUUCAGUUUAUAUACCGUCAUUAUUAGGCAACUUUUAGAAAAAUAUAAGUUGUUGCAAUAAUUUAAAGUUAGUAUAUUAGAUCAAGGUGUAGCUUAUGGUAAAGUAGAGAUGGGUUACAAUAAUAAUUAGUUUAAUAAAGCGGAUCUAGAGUUGAAAAUUCUAGUGAAGACGGAUUUAAAUGUAAAGUCAUUUUAAUAUGAUGUUUUGAUUAUAUCUCUAGAUUAUGUACACAUCGCCCGUCGCUCU
rnacentral:rRNA from 1 species